rnacentral:rRNA from 1 species
AACCCAGUGCAAUUCGUUGCACUAUCGUUAACUGAAUACAUAGGUUAACGAGGCGAACCGGGGGAACUGAAACAUCUAAGUACCCCGAGGAAAAGAAAUCAACCGAGAUUCCCCCAGUAGCGGCGAGCGAACGGGGAGCAGCCCAGAGUCUGAAUCAGCUUGUGUGUUAGUGGAACGGUCUGGAAAGUCCGACGGUACAGGGUGAUAGUCCCGUACACCAAAAUGCACAGGUUGUGAACUCGAAGAGUAGGGCGGGACACGUGGUAUCCUGUCUGAAUAUGGGGGGACCAUCCUCCAAGGCUAAAUACUCCUGACUGACCGAUAGUGAACCAGUACCGUGAGGGAAAGGCGAAAAGAACCCCGGCGAGGGGAGUGAAAAAGAACCUGAAACCGUGU